AUAAUUCUUUUUUAAGGUUCUUAAGGGAAAAAUGGGCUUCUUACUGAAGAAUAUAUACUAAUACAAUUUUUGUGAUGCUUUUGGCUGAGUUGUUUUGCCUAGAAGCACCUUAGCUUUAUCGUAAGAGCCUUUAAUACACAAAUCAUAGAGUAGGAAAAGUAAUGAGCACACUGAAGGCAGUUACACAGUGUAUAGAUCUUGAACUAUGUUAUUGUGUUUCACUUGCAGUUGGAGCUUUUUUUUUUGUUUUGUUUAACGAAGAAAGCACAUAGUGUUACGUAGGACAAAGAACAUGUGUACAGUAUACAUAUAUAUAUAUAAAAAUUAUUAAUGUUAAUUAUAUAAUUUUGUUUUUCCAAAGUUCUGAACAGUGCCUGAUGCUAAAUAAGCAAAACGAUAAUAAAGUGUAAAGUAGGGGGAGAGAAGCAAUGUCUUUGUAUUGCCAAGGUUUUACUAAAUGACUUAAGAUAUCCCUUUUAUGUUUUUGUACUUGAGCAGUCUUGCCAUAGAAAAUUCCCUUUCUUCUCAGCCCCUCUCACUACGAAAUUCCUUUCACUUUGCUGUACUACCUUUUCUUCCUGUUUAGAAGGAAACAAAGCAAAGCCCAGGGUUCCUCCUCUACCACUGUGUACCAGUUCCUCAUUUGCACCUAUUCCUGCCUUAUUUUCUCAUCCUGAAUGCUCACCUGGCUCCAGCCUCUGUAAUUACACUGGAUAAGCUGAUUGUGUGUAAAGAUGUAGCUCCCCUGUACAUGAUAUUGCCAUUCUUAAGGUUUAUAAAUUAUUAACCCGGAGGUUUCUGUGAGCCGAUUGAAAUGACAUGUAACAUUCUGUGUGUAUACAUACUACAUGGGAGAGUGGGGUACACAGCUUGUAUCUGUUUCUCAAAGGGGUCUGGAACACCAGAAAAUAUGGAGAAUGUGGGAGCUGACUUUUAGAUUUCCACCUGUACCACGAUAGUCCCUUUUUUAAAAGAACAAAACUCUUUAAACUCUGAUACUUGGACAGCAGUGAAAGAUGUAUUGAUGACUCGUUUGUUUUGGCACAUAUAAAAUUUAUUGGUACUCAUUUGUUUAUCCCUUAGUUUCGUAAAUGUGUCUGCCAUUUGUGAAUAGUAGAACCAAAGGUCACUAGAAUCCUUUGUUGUGGGGGAAGUGUAGAUCCUACAUAUAACCCAAGCAGAUGUGUAUCACCUAUCGAUGAUAAAAAUCUUAACUUCUAUAAGGAACAUGUAAGAACUAUGUGGUCUGAUACAUUCUAAAAAUUAUAUCUAGAUUACAAAAUGUUCAAAUUAUUAACUUUCAUUUUUUUCUCUUUAAAAACCCAUGGUGAGGACAAGGUAGAGGAAGCAAACACAUUUAGUCAAAUGUUGGGUGUAGUUGUUCUAAGAAAACCAGCUUAUAAUCUUUUCAGAUGAUAUUUAAGUUGAAUAGGUCAGAAAAUAAAAAAAGAGAGAGGACUAUGUAACAAAGUUGGACCCAAAUCCUAGAUUAGCAGAAGCAUUUCAAUGAUCAAUUCAUUCAAACAUGAAUUUAUUUCUUUUUAUAGCUGUCUCCUGGUAAAAUGAUCUGAAUGAAUGAUGCUUGAAAAAUGAUUUUUGCUGUGUAUGUGUAUGUGUGUGUAAAUUGUAAUUUAGCUUAUUUUAUAUGAUCUACUUAGUGUUUUUGUAGAUGUUUUCUUUUUCCAAGAUCAAACUUGGCUAAUGGAAAUACUCUUCUUGGUAUGUUAUUACUGUGUUUAAAGGAAAUUGCAAAUUAAAUAUUAACUUAUUAGCCAGGUACUCUAAUGGAUUAGUUAUAAGCAUAGCUAUAAGAGUCUUGAAAAUGCAAGCCUUUUGUUUUCUUGAGAUUCUAAGACUACUACUUUAUAACCUCAGUGAUUAAAUAGCUUCAUAUAAUUUAAAUUUAGCAAACAAAGAACUGAGGCAUGGCAUUUUAAUAAGGGAUUUACCUUGUGUUGGAAACACAUAGUUAAGUAAAUAUAGUCCUUUGAAAGAGGAUACUUUCAGUGCAUUUUCACAAUUUAAAGAUACUUGUUUUUUUCCUUACAACAGCAUAAAUUAAAAGGUAAGAAUUUCUAUUCUCUAUGUUUACUCACUUUUUUCUGACCCUCCUCAUCAAACCUUUGCCUUGGUUUUAACAUGCCGGGAACUAAAGUGACUGACGUCACGGUUGCACUUUCUUUUAAAAUGUCAGCUGAAAAGGAAAAGGUGUAAUGGAGAUUGAAAAACAGAAAAAUCAAUAUAAUAAAUAUGGUAUCAUUUAGCAGAAGUAAUUAAUGUUAAAUGAAGAGCCUUUGAUGGAGGCUUUGUUUUAUGUCACAUAAAAGCUGAUCAUGUUGAGAUUUUCCUAGAUUCUUUUAGGAAGAAGUUUAUAAUUUUUAGAUAACACAAAAAAGUAUUAUAUUUGGAGGAAUAUGUGUUUGGAUUAUAUUUGUAUAACUGAAGUUACGACUUGGGGGAAACUUCCAUGUUAUAUGUACCAUGUUAAAAGAGAUGUAUAGUCCAGCCAUUUCAUAGUAUAAUGAAUUUAUAUUGAGAGAUAUACCUUAUGUAAAGGAAUCUGAUUAUCUUAACUAUAGAGGAUGAAAAUGAGGGUGAUAAUAUUAAAAAACGUAGGUACUCAUUUCAGUAGAAUAAAUGGGUUUGUCUUGGAUUAUACUAACACUUUUUAACUACAGAAAUGAAUGGCUUCUAAUUUUAAAGGUUUACAAAUGAAGAUUUAACAAAGAACCAUUUUGGUAAGCUCAUUAUAAGAUAAAAGAAAAUGUACUUUUUUGAUUGAAAAGUAUUUGCUAAGAAUUUUCCUCCACAUGUGCCAGAUCUGCUUUGGAACACACACGCCACCCCUUCCUCCAUUAUCUAUUAUAGGAUUAUGGAUGUUUAGAGUAUUUAUGAAUAUAUAACAUUUUGAUUCAGAAUGUUCAAGCUAUAUGAAAUUGUCACUGAAGGUUUUUAAUCCUUCUCCAUAAUAGCAGUUGUUCCUAUUAGGAGCCUGUAAUACUGUGCCUUCUAGAUUGCAAACAAAAAGUACCCCUAACACACACACAGAGUCUUGCUUAAUGUGUGUUUUUUUCAUUGAAAAUAUAAGCAUAUAUAAGAAAGGCUCCUUUACCACAGACUGUUUGAAUUACUAGGUCAUUUAAUCUCUAAUUUCUUGCAUUAGAGAGUUGGGGAAAAGUCAAUUUUUUGUUUUGCUAACAAGAAUAUUUUUAUGUACACACACAUACAUAGGCUACUGAGAUAGCAUUUUUGUAAAUGCUACCAUAUACAUUAGGCUACUUCAAGAAGCUGUCUUUUUGAUUGUGAAAAACAAUUUCAUAGGUUUAUAUGGUUCCUAAGUAUCCCUUUGGCAAAUUACAAUUAAUGGUAGUUUUAUAUUAAGCUCCUGAUACAUUAACAUGUAGAAAACUGUGCCUUAAUAGCCUUAAUACGCCACAGCAUACAUGUGACACCUUGAUGAAUGGCACUGCAGAAAAACAUCACUUUUUUUCUCUCCCAGAUGUCUAUUUCACAGAUGUCCAUCUUCUUCAAGUGAGAAGUUGCUGAUUGUACAUUGAUAUAGUUUUCUUCCAGUUUAUAUAAUGUGCAUAUAUAGAGGGGUACACACAGAAAGUAAUGAAACUAGCAAAAUCAUUUGUACAUUUACAGCAGAUUUUAGUUUUCAUCAGUAUUUUAAGUUCAUCAAAUUACUUCUUAGUACCUUGAAUAACAUUUUCGCAAAUAUACAGAGAUCAUACUUUAUUACAGCAACAGUGGCUUUCUUUGAUUAAUAUAACAUAUAAAAAUGUUUUUAAAAUUUGUCUCUUUUUAUUUCCUUGCCUAACGAGAGUUUUAUUCUGUAGAUCUGAAGUUUACAUGUGAAAAUUAUGGGAUUUGUCACAUUCAAGAUCUUGAUUGAUAGCGGCACUCAGUAAACACUUGCUGCUUGUUAGGUACUAGGCUGAGAACUUCAUCCACGUGACUGAUUUAAUACUCGCUAACCUAAUGUAGUGGGUGCUAGCCCUGUUCUCAUUUUAAAAACAAGGAAAUGACAGGCUCAGAAAGGUUAAGUGAUUUGGCCAGGGUCAGGUAGCAGGUCCAGGAUGUGUUCUGCAAAACCGAAACUUUGCUUUUCCUCUUUAGAUUUCUGACAAGAAGCGUCUUUAUGCGAAGUGUUAUUAUUAACAUUGUUUUUGAGCUUUGUUAGUAGAUAACUUGCCAGUAUCUUCCCAGUGAUCAUAGUGGACCUCCUAGCUUUAACUCAGUUUUGGUGACAUUUGUUGUUUGCUAAUGAUAAACAACUGGUGGGGUAGCCCUGCCCUUCCUGUAGGGGAUGAGAGGUGCUUCAGAUGCCAGAGCAUCCAGUGAGAGAGGAGUGGUGGCCUUGUUCCCAGGUAUCCCAGGAGUACAAAGGGGGCCACUGCCUGGGAAAUUCAGGAAGGCUUUCUUUUGGAUGUUAUACCAGGAUUGAAGUUAAACAGUCAGUUAUCUGAAAAGUAUCAGAGUGGGAGUGGGGUAGAGGGUUCAGAGUGGGAGUAGGGUAGGGGCUUCUCGGCAAAAGAGAUAGACUAAGAAAAGAUGGAGAGUCAGAAACAUUAUGGUAAAUGCAAGGCUUUUAAGCAUGUUGGUGCUUAUGUGUCAGAUUUUGUUUUAAGCAUUCUACUCCAUAGAGUAAACUUAUGGUGCGUGCUGUAGUUUUCCUUGGGAGUUCUUAUCUUUGGCACUCCUCACUUUCCCCAGAAGAUAUAUGGAUCUCACCUUGAGAAACCUGAUGUAUAAGUAGGUAUCCUGAUGUGGGGGAGGGUGAAGAAUCUUUACUAUAGAACAUUUACACUUAGACAAUUUCUCAAAAAGAAAGCUCAUUUUAAACCUUGGAAUGUUACAUAAACAAGUGGUAAUUUAAUUUUGCUCAGUUCUAUUAAAACUGUUAUUGUCGCCUCUGCUGAAAUAAUUUAGUCAUAUUAGUUUUGUGAUAUAUGUAUUUUUAAUAGCAAAAAAUUGGCAUAAAAUAAUCACAUCACUUCUUACUUUCCAUUGCUAAUUUGGAGUGUAAUGUUUUAGUUCUAAUUUCCUGUUUCUCCUAGCUACAAGACAUCUAUUUAAUUUUAUAACUCCAAAAUGAAAAUAUCCUUGAUUAAGAUGAUUCUGUAUCCUUCAUGAUUGAAUGUGGAGCAGUUUUAUAUUUUUUAUAAAAAUAAUUUCAUGAAAUUUGUUUCUUUUGGAGAUACUUUAUACAUGAAUGGCAUUGAAAAAAUCUGUAUUUUAAUUAUUAAUCUUCUAUUAUUGUUUUGUGUCAGGAUCUUGUUACUUUAGGAUAUCUGUCUAGCAGAGGCCUGAACAAAAAAACAUGUCUUGGCAACUGUUUGUCCUGCAGAAGAGUGUAAUUCGUUUUGUUAAUACAAUUCUUUGGAAAAUAUAUACAUAUAUUUUCAAUUAUUUAUCUUCCUUGGGCGAGUGGCUAUGAACAAUGCAAGGGUUAGGGACAUUGACAACCUUACACUAUAGAAAAUACAUGUAUAACUGUUGGCUCCUACCAAACUUAAUUGUUAAUAUCCUGCUGUUGAUCAGAAGUCUUACUAAUAACACAAUUAGCCCAUAUUUUGUAUGUUUAUGUAUAAUGUACUAUGUUCUUAAGUAAGCUAGUGAAGAUGAAAUGUUGUUAAGAAAAUCAUAAGG